rnacentral:rRNA from 1 species
AUUCGCUUCAGGAUGGACUCGCGUCCAAUUAGCUAGUUGGUGAGGUAACGGCCCACCAAGGCGACGAUUGGUAGCCGGACUGAGAGGUUGAACGGCCACAUUGGGACUGAGACACGGCCCAGACUCCUACGGGAGGCAGCAGUGGGGGAUAUUGCACAAUGGGGGAAACCCUGAUGCAGCGACGCCGCGUGGAGGAAGAAGGUUUUCGGAUUGUAAACUCCUGUCGUUAGGGACGAUAAUGACGGUACCUAACAAGAAAGCACCGGCUAACUACGUGCCAGCAGCCGCGGUAAAACGUAGGGUGCAAGCGUUGUCCGGAAUUACUGGGUGUAAAGGGAGCGCAGGCGGACCGGCAAGUUGGAAGUGAAAUCCAUGGGCUCAACCCGUGAAUUGCUUUCAAAACUGCUGGCCUUGAGUAGUGCAGAGGUAGGUGGAAUUCCCGGUGUAGCGGUGGAAUGCGUAGAUAUCGGGAGGAACACCAGUGGCGAAGGCGACUUACUGGGCACCAACUGACGCUGAGGCUCGAAAGCAUGGGUAGCAAACAGGAUUAGAUACCCUGGUAGUCCAUGCCGUAAACGAUGAUUACUAGGUGUUGGAGGAUUGACCCCUUCAGUGCCGCAGUUAACACAAUAAGUAAUCCACCUGGGGAGUACGACCGCAAGGUUGAAACUCAAAGGAAUUGACGGGGGCCCGCACAAGCAGUGGAGUAUGUGGUUUAAUUCGAAGCAACGCGAAGAACCUUACCAGGUCUUGACAUCCGAUGCAUAGUGCAGAGAUGCAUGAAGUCCUUCGGGACAUCGAGACAGGUGGUGCAUGGUUGUCGUCAGCUCGUGUCGUGAGAUGUUGGGUUAAGUCCCGCAACGAGCGCAACCCUUAUUGCCAGUUACUACGAAAGAGGACUCUGGCGAGACUGCCGUUGACAAAACGGAGGAAGGUGGGGAUGACGUCAAAUCAUCAUGCCCUUUAUGACCUGGGCUACACACGUACUACAAUGGCGUUUAACAAAGAGAAGCAAGACCGCGAGGUGGAGCAAAACUCAGAAACAACGUCUCAGUUCAGAUUGCAGGCUGCAACUCGCCUGCAUGAAGUCGGAAUUGCUAGUAAUCGCGGAUCAGCAUGCCGCGGUGAAUACGUUCCCGGGCCUUGUACACACCGCCCGUCACACCAUGAGAGCCGGGGGGACCCGAAGUCGGUAGUCUAACCGCAAGGAGGACGCCGCCGAAGGUAAAACUGGUGAUUGGGGUGAAGUCGUAACAAGGUAGCCGUA